rnacentral:rRNA from 1 species
GACGAACGCUGGCGGCGUGCCUAAUACAUGCAAGUUGAGCGAUGAAGCUUGGUGCUUGCACCAAUUUGAAGAGCAGCGAACGGGUGAGUAACGCGUGGGGAAUCUGCCUUUGAGCGGGGGACAACAUUUGGAAACGAAUGCUAAUACCGCAUAACAACUUUAAACAUAAGUUUUAAGUUUGAAAGAUGCAAUUGCAUCACUCAAAGAUGAUCCCGCGUUGUAUUAGCUAGUUGGUGAGGUAAAGGCUCACCAAGGCGAUGAUACAUAGCCGACCUGAGAGGGUGAUCGGCCACAUUGGGACUGAGACACGGCCCAAACUCCUACGGGAGGCAGCAGUAGGGAAUCUUCGGCAAUGGACGAAAGUCUGACCGAGCAACGCCGCGGGAGUGAAGAAGGGUUUCGGAUCGUAAAACUCGGUUGGUAGAGAAGAACGUUGGUGAGAGUGGAAAGCUCAUCAAGUGACGGUAACUACCCAGAAAGGGACGGCUAACUACGUG